rnacentral:rRNA from 1 species
GACGAACGCUGGCGGCGCGCUUAACACAUGCAAGUCGAACGGAAAGGCCCUGCUUUUGUGGGGUGCUCGAGUGGCGAACGGGUGAGUAACACGUGAGUAACCUGCCCUUGACUUUGGGAUAACUUCAGGAAACUGGGGCUAAUACCGGAUAGGAGCUCCUGCUGCAUGGUGGGGGUUGGAAAGUUUCGGCGGUUGGGGAUGGACUCGCGGCUUAUCAGCUUGUUGGUGGGGUAGUGGCUUACCAAGGCUUUGACGGGUAGCCGGCCUGAGAGGGUGACCGGCCACAUUGGGACUGAGAUGCGGCGCAGACUCCUACGGGAGGCAGCAGUGGGGAAUAUUGCACAAUGGGCGGAAGCCGGAUGCAGCAACGCCGCGUGCGGGAUGACGGCCUUCGGGUUGUAAACCGCUUUCGCCUGUGACGAAGCGUGAGUGACGGUAAUGGGUAAAGAAGCACCGGCUAACUACGUG